rnacentral:piRNA from 1 species
UAGGAUAUGUUUGUGAGGUAGCAAGAAGU